CCCUUAGAUGUUCUGGGCCGCACGCGCGCUACACUGACGGAGGCAGCGAGCGUGUCCUUCGCCGGCAGGUGCGGGCAAUCUUGCGAGUCUCCGUCGUGCUGGGGAUAGAUGGUUGCAAUUGUCGAUCUUGAACGAGGAAUUCCUAGUAAGCGCGAGUCAUCAGCUCGCGCUGAUUACGUCCCUGCCCUUUGUACACACCGCCCGUCGCUCCUACCGAUUGAGUGAUCCGGUGAGGCUCUGGGACCUGGACGGAAAGAGCGUUUCGCUUGUUCUGUUUGGGAAACUUGGUCGAACCUUAUCAUUUAGAGGAAGGAGAAGUCGUAACA
rnacentral:rRNA from 1 species